GGGGAAGUAUUUUAAAGGAAGAAUGUGUCCUCCCAAAGCACACGGUCCGAGUUCAAUUCCCGGCUUCUCCA